GGCCUCGUAGCUCAGUUGGUAGAGCAUGCGCGUACAAAGCGUAGGCAGCGUCCAUGCGUGGGUUCGAGUCCCACCGAGGCUA
rnacentral:tRNA from 1 species